rnacentral:rRNA from 1 species
AUUGAACGCUGGCGGCAGGCCUAACACAUGCAAGUCGAACGAGUGGCGGCCGGGUGAGUCAUGUCUGGGACCCUGCCCGCUGGAGGGGGCUACCUACUGGAAACGGUAGCUAAUACCGCAUACCAUCGGACCUGCCCAGAUGGGACUAGCUAGUAGGUGGGGUAAAGGCCCACCUAGGCGACGAUCCCUAGCUGGUCUGAGCGGAUGACCAGCGACGCUGGAACUGAGACACGGUCCAGACUCCUACGUGAGGCAGCAGUGGGGAAUAUUGGACAAGGGGCGCAAGCCUGAUGCAGCCAUGCCGCGUGUAUGAAGAAGGCCUUCGGAUUGUAAAGUACUUUCAGCUGGGAGGCGUUACCCACAGAAGAAGCACCGGCUAACUCCGUGCCAGCAGCCGCGGUAAUAC